UGGUUUCCUGCUUCCUCUUGAAGACACAUUUCAGGUUUGACAGCAUAUCUCUUGAAAAAGGAUUGUUGAGGAAGGAUUCCUCAACAGAGGCGUCAACAGGUGCGUCUCUCAGUGUGAACGCAAGUGUGUUUGUGUGUGUGGGUGAGAGCUAACAUACGUGUGCAUGCAUACCUGCAGGUGACAUCUCCCAUAUUUUAAACUUUUUCCUUCUCUCCUUCACCCUGUGAUGGCUGGAAAAAGGCCAGCUCUCCUCUCUGUCUCUGGACUGAAACAACAUUGCAGUAUUACUGCAGUGUGGCAAAAAAGAAAGCACCUAAGUACUACGAUGAGGUAAAUUCAAACAAUUCUGUCAUCGUAUCUCAUGACUUCCAUCUGCUUUGCUCAUGAAAUUCCUCCGUUUGUACUUCAAAUGAAGGUGACAACAUUUCCCAUGAUGAUCCCCUCCCAGAUGAGAGCCUGGCCGACAGACAGGACUGUCAGUAUGAACCUGAAGUGUGAAGUGUGUCACUUAUGCUUACUGGAUCGUCAUUUUAGAGCAAAAAGAGCGGAAAUGCAUUGAUAUGUGAAUAUUAUAAGCAAAGUUACCAGUGAGAAUAAGAGUGAUAACCUUUGCACUGGUGCUGGGUUCAAAAAUAUGGCACAUUUUAUGGGACGGGAAAAAAUAACAUAUAUUUUGAAUGUUAUCCAUUUCACAUUUCUAACAUUUUUAUGUACUGUAAGAUAAGGUGCAUCCGCUCCUGCAUCAUGCUUUAAUAAAUGUCAUGCUAUGCUUGGGUUGCGGUGGGAGUUUGGCUUUUUUAAAAUGUAUCAGUGUUUUUUAUUUUUUGUUUCUGUUGGUGUCGAUGUGGAAAUGUACAAAAGCAACAGUGGGUGAAAAUAAAGGGAAAGAAAGUGGUGCUUAUAUGCUGCUACAAGAUAUGUGAUGGAUGAUGAGAUGUUUAUGUUCCUUGGAAAAGUUGGUUAUAAAAAGAUCCUCCCCUCCUUUUUUGCAAGCAGAUGACACAGUAUCUGUCAGCACACCAUACCUCGAAGAAAUUCAGUUUAAAUUGAUGGAAAAAGAGAGAAAAAUCCUCACAAUCGAGAAGCUGAAAUGAGAGAAUGUUUUGUGUUUUACUACUUCUGUCAAUAGACCAAUUGUUAUUUGCACCAUCUACUUGUGUCUGCGAAUAAUAACGGUCCCUUUAAUCAGACUGAAUGGUCAGUUAUAUCCACAGCUCAGGGCUAAAACAUCAGCAGUGUUGUAA